rnacentral:rRNA from 1 species
UACGUAGGGGGCAAGCGUUGUCCGGAUUUAUUGGGCGUAAAGAGCGUGUAGGCGGCUAGAUAGGUCCGUUGUGAAAACUCGAGGCUCAACCUCGAGACGCCGGUGGAAACCAUCUAGCUAGAGUCCGGAAGAGGAGAGUGGAAUUCCUGGUGUAGCGGUGAAAUGCGCAGAUAUCAGGAGGAACACCGGUGGCGAAGGCGGGUCUCUGGGCCGUAACUGACGCUGAGGAGCGAAAGCGUGGGGAGCGAACAGG